UGGGGAAUAUUGGACAAUGGGGGCAACCCUGAUCCAGCAAUGCCGCGUGAGUGAUGAAGGCCUUAGGGUUGUAAAGCUCUUUCGCACGCGACGAUGAUGACGGUAGCGUGAGAAGAAGCCCCGGCUAACUUCGUGCCAGCAGCCGCGGUAAUACGAAGGGGGCUAGCGUUGUUCGGAAUUACUGGGCGUAAAGGGCGCGCAGGCGGUCUUCCAAGUCAGAUGUGAAAGCCCCGGGCUCAACCUGGGAACAGCAUUUGAGACUGGGAGACUUGAGUUCGGGAGAGGAGAGCGGAAUUCCCAGUGUAGAGGUGAAAUUCGUAGAUAUUGGGAAGAACACCGGUGGCGAAGGCGGCUCUCUGGACCGAUACUGACGCUGAGGCGCGAAAGCGUGGGGAGCAAACAG
rnacentral:rRNA from 1 species